GACAGAGGGUGCAAACGUUGUUCGGAAUUACUGGGCGUAAAGCGAGUGUAGGCGGUUCGGUAAGUCGGAUGUGAAAGCCCCGGGCUCAACCCGGGAAGUGCACUCGAUACUGCCGAGCUAGAGUAUCGGAGAGGUUGGUGGAAUUCUCGGUGUAGAGGUGAAAUUCGUAGAUAUCUGGAGGAACACCGGUGGCGAAGGCGGCAUCCUGGACCAAUAUUGACGCUGAGGAGCGAAAGCCAGGGGAGCAAACGGG
rnacentral:rRNA from 1 species